rnacentral:lncRNA from 1 species
AAACAGUGCAAAAAGUGAGGCUGGGCAGCCCGAGCCUGCAGGGUUGGAGCUCAGAGCUAUCUCAGGAGGUGCAGUAUGGAGGUGCCCACCUGCAACCCAUUCACCUGGGGCAACGCUCAGAACAAAGGUGGUGGCCGCCCCUCCCCUCCCAGCACAGCUCUCCCAUAGCCCAGCAGGGCUGUGUGUGGCACAGGGCCGUUCCCCUCGCUGCCGUCCCACCGCACACCCAGAG